GGCCGAAUAGCUCAGUUGGUUAGAGCGUCGUGCUAAUAACGCGAAGGUCUUGGGUUCGACCCCCACUUUGGCCA